GGUCCUUUAUUGUUCUCAAUGUAUAUUAAUGAUCUGCCAGAUAUUUGUUUGGACUGCAAUGUGCAGAUGUAUGCAGAUGAUGCUGUGAUUUUCAUUCAUGGAAAAGAUAAAAAGACAAUAGCUGCAAAUCUUACAAAAUCACUAACUGAAGUUCAAAACUGGCUAAAUCAAAUUUGUCUCACUCUCAAUACCAAAAAGACCGUGGUGAUGAUGUUUACGAAAAAAUCCUCUGUGAAGUCAAAUACUUUAAAAACUGAAUUUAAGACACUCACGAAGCAAUCGCUAGCAGGAAAUAGAUCUUCCGUGUUUUUGGGAGAGGAGGAAUUGGAAUUCAAACCUCACUUUCAAAAAGCACAUACAAAAAGUAACAAAUACAAUACAAUUUAAUUUACAAAAUUUCAAACAAAUUAGGUCCUAUAUUACAACCGACGCUGCUAAAUCUUAUCUUCAUUGUAUGAUUUUUUCCCAUAUUGAAUAUUGUUUCACAGUUUGGUCUUUUGCCGGAG